rnacentral:lncRNA from 1 species
AGGAAGCUUUUUACAAAAGGAAUAUUUACUUCCAAAUGUAGCAAGGGAAGGUGCAAAGUAGAUUGCAAGGAAUGAUUGACAAGCCUGGAUUCUGUAUGAGAGCUGACUGGGUCAGAAUUCCAAGCUGUUGAAAGUUUUUCAACUGUGAGUCUGAAACUGGAGGUCAAGACUGAAGGUGUGACUCUAGGACUCUCCCUGGACAAACCCAUCUUUCAAGCAGUCUGCCUUAGAAUAACAUCAAGACAAGGUUGAGAAGUUUCCCACUCAUUCUGGUGGACAGAGUGAUUUUGGAAAAGAAUUUCUCCCUUCCCUGGAGCUUCUAAGGACUCUACAACUGGAUUUCUGCUGUCUGACCCACCAAGGACUCAGUGUGAGAAUCUGGGCUGCCAAUUUGGAUUUAUCUUUAGGAGAGAACAGGCAAUGCAGCCAGGCUUCACCACCUUGAAAGAAGAGCAGUGCUUAGAGAUCUCGAGAUGUAAAUAGCUGGGAACAGAAGAGGAAGGAUGACUCAUUGGCCCUUUGUCUGGACAGAGCAGAAAGUUGUAAACUAGGUCAGCUAUGGCGGAUUAAAAUGGAGAAAAAAGCAGAGAGACUCUCAGCAUCUCUGCCCACCUCUGAUUCCAGGCUCUGGAAAGUCAUACUCUUCACAACUGAUAAUGAAGUGUCAACAGAGGAAAUAAAACCUUGCCACAAAGCAGCUGAGAUAAAACAGAAACAACCGACUCCUCAAAGAGCCUGUCAGGUUCUGGGAUCCGUGGAUCAUUCUCCAUCCCCUUGGAGGGAUGGCCCCAGCUCCUUAUUUGGAGAGCUCCAUUUCUUUUUCCCUUUAUGUGCCUUAUGAUCCUUCGAUGACUUCCCAGCAAUGAUGGGGACCAGAGGAUAGCAGGAGUGGCUCUCAGGAGGCUCAAUCUGGUUCCUCUUCUGACUCCUCCAAAUAUGGAACCGAGCACCUUCUCCUCACGAACCUUUCCAACACCCUAGGAUUGAGGUCUUCCUUCAGGCUUGAGCUGUCUUGUCCUGAACCUCUCCCUCCCCCAUCACCUACCCCCCACAGCCUUCAGGAAGAACAUAGAACUGAACUGAUUAAAUAAAAUACUUUAAAGAGUUGAAAAGGACCUUGAA